ACCCGGUUGACGAAUCCUAAAUAGGAUGAAACGUGCAUCCUGGAU
rnacentral:hammerhead_ribozyme from 1 species